rnacentral:rRNA from 1 species
CAGCAGCCGCGGUAAUACGGGGGGAGCGAACGUUGUUCGGAAUCACUGGGCGUAAAGGGCGUGCAGGCGGCCCCGCAAGUGGAAUGUGAAAUGCCCUGGCUCAACCAGGGAACUGCAUCCCAAACUACGGGGCUUGAGUACAGGAGAGGAUGGGGGAAUUCCCGGUGUAGCGGUGAAAUGCAUUGAUAUCGGGAGGAACACCAGUGGCGAAGGCGCCCAUCUGGCCUGAUACUGACGCUCAGGCGCGAAAGCUAGGGGAGCAAACAGGAUUAGAUACCCUGGUAGUCCUAGCCGUAAACGGUGAGCACUAGGUGUAGGAGGCAUCGACCCCUCCUGUGCCGCAGCUAACGCAUUAAGUGCUCCGCCUGGGGAGUACGACCGCAAGGUUGAAACUCAAAGGAAUUGACGGGGGCCCGCACAAGCGGUGGAGCAUGUGGUUUAAUUCGAUGCAACGCGAAGAACCUUACCCAGAUUUGACAUGCAUUGGACCGGUGUGGAAACACACCUUCCCUUCGGGGCCGAUGCACAGGUGCUGCAUGGCUGUCGUCAGCUCGUGUCGUGAGAUGUUGGGUUAAGUCCCGCAACGAGCGCAACCCUUGUCUUUAGUUGCCAGCAAGUUCCGUUGGGCACUAUAGGGAGACUGCCGCCGACAAGGCGGAGGAAGGUGGGGAUGACGUACAAGUCCUCAUGGUCCUUACAUCUGGGGCUACACACGUGCUACAAUGGUCGGUACAAAGGGUUGCAAUGCCGCGAGGUGGAGCCAAUCCCCAUAAAGCCGGCCUCAGUUCGGAUUGUAGUCUGCAACUCGACUGCAUGAAGGCGGAAUCGCUAGUAAUCGCUGAUCAGCAGGCAGCGGUGAAUAUGUUCCCGGGCCUUGUACACACCGCCCGUCAAGCCACGAAAGUUGGCAGUACCACGACCGUCGCUAUUCUUAACCGCAACGGGUUACGUACCUUCGAAGCUGCUGCCAACAAUUUGGGCUAAGUCGUAACAAGGUAUCCGUA